UUGAAAGGGAAACGAUUGAAGUCAGUCGUGCUGGCGCGAAAUCAACCCUUCUCGUCUUGAGAUCCCAUGGGCGUGGCGAGCCCUCAAAACCGUCACGAAGCGUGAACUCUUGGUGAAAUGGAGGACUUUCGUGUCCGCUGGUUAACAUCAAUUUCGAACGUCAUAAAAAGGCUGGAGGGAUGUGGCUCCUUCGGGAGUGUUAUAACCUUUAGCGGAAUGUGGUGUUCGGGAUUGAGGAUUGCAACGAAUACCUUUAGGGCUGUUCCACCUGGCUUCUCUUUGGUACCCUGGUGACGACAGCUUGCUGACCUCGUUAGGAUUCGCCUUGAACAGGCUAGAGUGUGAGCAACUUCGUUAAGGAUGUUGACGUA
rnacentral:rRNA from 1 species